rnacentral:rRNA from 1 species
UACGUAGGGUGCGAGCGUUUGUCCGGAAUUAUUGGGCGUAAAGAGCUUGUAGGCGGUUUGUCGCGUCUGCUGUGAAAAUCCGGGGCUCAACCUCGGGUCUGCAGUCGAUACGGGCAAACUGGAGUGUUGCAGGGGAGACUGGAAUUCCUGGUGUAGCGGUGAAAUGCGCAGAUAUCAGGAGGAACACCGGUGGCGAAGGCGGGUCUCUGGGCCUUACCUGACGCUGAGGAGCGAAAGCGUGGGUAGCGAACAGG